CGGAAGUAGCUCCUUUUCCUGAUUCGAUCCCGCAUGGGGACGACCUGAGGGAGACCGUCUGCUGCGUGACAUGAAGAUGAAGGCCUCCUUCUCUGUACGUCUCCAUGUUGGCUGUGGAGGACGUAGCUCAGCGUUGCAUAUCAGGGUGAGAGCCACCAGAGGGAAUCGGUGAGUGUGAUGAUAGAGAUCUUGGGGCUGUCCUUGGAACUCUAUAUUCAGUGGCUGUGAUGGAGGAAGAGGAUGUUGUUGUUUUUUGCUCACUCACAUGUGACUGCUGGUCUUGAUUUUGCUCUAUUGCAAAAUCCUGCUUUUUAUCGUCAGCAACAGCCAAUUCCGUUCUGAGGGCCAAUGUUUUUUUUUUUCGCUUUAAUUUGUGCUUCUUCAAAAUUGAGAGCAUACUUUGCCUAUAAGGCUUGCGCUUUUGCUUGUAAUGUAGCGAGUUCCAAUUGAGCUUGUAAUUGUACCACAGACGUGUUGGAUUUAAUGCUUGAGUGUUUGCUGCCAGGUGAACUGGGCGCAUUACUGCCGCUUUUGGCCAGCGAUGCGCUUUCAGAUGACACAUUAACUCGCUGAUUUACUAGGCCUCACACAGGCCGAGUAAAUCCCAGCAUACCAAUUUCAUUGCGCUUCCUUGUGAGAACACUUGAGUUUGCCUCUGCACGUGGCCAUCAGUUUACAGUUAUUUUUCUGCGGCAACAUCAUCAUUAAAAACUUCUUCCAUGUUCAAUUUUUGUUUCCUUAACCAACGAAGAUUAUUUCAAAACUCAAAAGAAUUUUGUUUUCUUCACAAACUUGACAAACUUAAGAUUUCAUUGUCCACUGCUUAUUUGCUCUCACUUUAACCAUCAUAUUUGUACAUGUCUUAUUUGCUGAUGUUGCUCUAUUGUUGUUGUUGUGUUUGUUGUUGUUGUUUUUGUCUCUCUGUCUAAUCCCCCUCUUGUCCCCACAAUUUCCCCCUCUGUCUUCCUUUUUUUCUCUUUCCAUCCUCUCCUGCUACGGCCCGGCUGCACCAAAUGAUAAUAUAAAUACAUUUAAUAAAGUCAAAUACAAAUAAGGCAACAAGAGAAGUAUUC